rnacentral:siRNA from 1 species
UCGGGAGCCAUAAGUUGUGCUGAU